CAAGUCGAACGGCAGCGCGGGAGCAAUCCUGGCGGCGAGUGGCGAACGGGUGAGUAAUACAUCGGAACGUGCCCAAUCGUGGGGGAUAACGCAGCGAAAGCUGUGCUAAUACCGCAUACGAUCUACGGAUGAAAGCAGGGGACCGCAAGGCCUUGCGCGAAUGGAGCGGCCGAUGGCAGAUUAGGUAGUUGGUGGGGUAAAGGCUCACCAAGCCUUCGAUCUGUAGCUGGUCUGAGAGGACGACCAGCCACACUGGUACUGAAACACGGCCCAGNACUCCUACGGGAGGCAGCGGUGGGGAAUUUUGGACAAUGGGCGGAAAGCCUGAUCCACCCCAUGCCUGUGUGCAGGUAUGAAG
rnacentral:rRNA from 1 species